rnacentral:rRNA from 1 species
AGUGAACGCUGGCGGUGGGCCUAUCACAUGCAAGUCGAACGGCAGCACAGUAAGAGCUUGCUCUUACGGGUGGCGAGUGGCGGACGGGUGAGGAAUACAUCGGAAUCUACUUUUUCGUGGGGGAUAACGUAGGGAAACUUACGCUAAUACCGCAUACGACCUACGGGUGAAAGCAGGGGAUCUUCGGACCUUGCGCGAUUGAAUGAGCCGAUGUCGGAUUAGCUAGUUGGCGGGGUAAAGGCCCACCAAGGCGACGAUCCGUAGCUGGUCUGAGAGGAUGAUCAGCCACACUGGAACUGAGACACGGUCCAGACUCCUACGGGAGGCAGCAGUGGGGAAUAUUGGACAAUGGGCGCAAGCCUGAUCCAGCCAUACCGCGUGGGUGAAGAAGGCCUUCGGGUUGUAAAGCCCUUUUGUUGGGAAAGAAAAGCAGCAGGUUAAUACCCCGCUGUUCUGACGGUACCCAAAGAAUAAGCACCGGCUAACUUCGUG